rnacentral:rRNA from 1 species
GACGAACGCUGGCGGCGUGCUUAAUACAUGCAAGUCGAACGGAAAGGCCCUGCUCUUGUGGGGUGCUCGAGUGGCGAACGGGUGAGUAACACGUGAGUAACCUGCCCUUGACUUUGGGAUAACUUCAGGAAACUGGGGCUAAUACCGGAUAGGAGCUCCUGCUGCAUGGUGGGGGUUGGAAAGUUUCGGCGGUUGGGGAUGGACUCGCGGGUUAUCAGCUUGUUGGUGGGGUAGUGGCUUACCAAGGCUUUGACGGGUAGCCGGCCUGAGAGGGUGACCGGCCACAUUGGGACUGAGGUACGGCGCAGACUCCUACGGGACGCAGCAGGGGGGAGUAUUGCACAAUGAGCGGAAGCGUGAUGCAGCAACGUCGCGUGCGGGAUGACGGGCUUCGGGGUGUAAACCGCUUUCGCCUGUGACGAAGCGUGAGUGACGGUAAUGGGUAAAGAAGCACCGGCUAACUACGUG